GAGUUUGAUCUUGGCUCAGGAUGAACGUUGGCGGCGUGCCUAACACAUGCAAGUCGAACGGGAAGCCAAUUUCGGUUGGCAGAGAGUGGCGCACGGGUGCGUAACACGUAGCUCACCUGGCCCAAAGCGCGGGAUAACGCACCGAAAGGUGUGCUAAAACCGCAUAAGCUCACGGUCUGUAGAGGGGUGUGAGAAAACUCCGGUGCUUUGGGAUGGGGCUGCGGCCCAUCAGCUAGUUGGUGCGGUAACGGCGCACCAAGGCGACGACGGGUAGGGG
rnacentral:rRNA from 1 species